GAGGAAGUAAAAGUCGUAACAAGGUCUCCGUUGGUGAACCAGCGGAGGGAUCAUUACUGAGUUACCGCUCAUCAACCCUUUGUGAACAUACCUUAACUGUUGCUUCGGCGGGUAGGCGUCCCCUAAAAAGGACGUCUCCCGGCCCUCUCCCGUCCGCGGGUGGGGCGCCCGCCGGAGGAUAACCAAACUCUGAUUUAACGACGUUUCUUCUGAGUGACACAAGCAAAUAAUCAAAACUUUUAACAACGGAUCUCUUGGUUCUGGCAUCGAUGAAGAACGCAGCGAAAUGCGAUAAGUAAUGUGAAUUGCAGAAUUCAGUGAAUCAUCGAAUCUUUGAACGCACAUUGCGCCCGCCAGCAUUCUGGCGGGCAUGCCUGUUCGAGCGUCAUUUCAACCCUCAAGCUCUGCUUGGUGUUGGGGCUCUACGGUUGACGUAGGCCCUUAAAGGUAGUGGCGGACCCUCUCGGAGCCUCCUUUGCGUAGUAACAUUUCGUCUCGCAUUGGGAUUCGGAGGGACUCUAGCCGUAAAACCCCCAAUUUUACUAAGGUUGACCUCGGAUCAGGUAGGAAUACCCGCUGAACUUAAGCAUAUCAAUAAGCGGAGGAA
rnacentral:rRNA from 1 species